UCUUUGUUUAAGUUGUUCGCUAUCUUUAUUGGCAAUUUGGCAUCCUUGGAGCAGCAAUCCUUAACUUCAUUUUUACCAAUUUUUGAUAUAUCCAUAACAAACGCAUGUAUCAGUACGAUGUAAAAAAUACGUUACUGCGCAUACCACUUCACUCAGGGUUUACCAGAGAACCGUUAACAGUAGUUAGAAGUAGCGAUACGAAAGAUAAACGAAUUGGCGACAUCCUGACCAUUCACAGUAAGAUUUGUUCCUCGCUGAUGCAUUCCUAAAAAGUUUGCACUUAAAAGCUUUAUGUGAAAAAAGUCUCCACCAUAUCAUUUGUUGAAUUUCACGAUUGUGUUUCCACGAACCUCAUGAUGUGCUAAUGAAAAAAAGCCAAUAAAUCAUCACAUCUUUCUGAAUAAAAGUGGCAACAAUUAGAAAGGCUUGACUUUUCGAAGAUCCACUAUCCUAACUUGCAGCGACAACAUGUCUCGAUGGAAUCGAAGAACCAUGAAAAAAUAAAUACCCUAAUACAUAUGUUUAGAAAAUUCUAAUCAUACCAUAAUUUUUAUUACUUAUUAGUGCAUAUAUGUGAGUAUUGUUACUCACAUAGAAAUAAGAGUAAUUUUAUUCUUAUGAACCCAUGUUAUAAAACAUUCUUCCAAAAAUUACAUUCAGAGUUUUCCUUUUCGAUUCACCAAAUGGAAAAAUUUCAUUUUUGCAAUAUAUGGACAGCAGCAUUUUAAUUGCAUUCACCGUGAAAAUUUUACUGUCAACCUUUAAUUAAAGAGGAGGCUCGUUCUCUAGACAUGCAGACAGAAGUGCUUUAAAACCGCAAUUUUCUCUUUCGCCUUAUUAUGGAGAAACCAUAUGCUUGCAAAUUUUGUGGUAUUUUUUCGGUUUCCCAAUUUAAAGAAACGUUUAGUGAUGCAUUCAAAAGAGAAACCGUAUUCAUGUGACAUUUUAAGUGAAGCAUUUUUUCAACAGUCUCAUUUAAAAAUUCAUUUAAUGUCGCAUAUGAAUGAGGAAUCCCACCCUUGCAACUUUUGCAACAAAGUCUUUUCUAAAAUUUCCGAUUUCAAAAGACAUUUACGGACGCAUUCACAAGAGAAACUGUUUACAUGCGAGUUUUGCAAGAAAGCCUUUUCCAGCAACGGGAAUUUAAAAGUA